rnacentral:lncRNA from 1 species
AUUCAUUUCCUGAUGGUGCAGUGGGGGUUUCUCUGACCUGAGUAAGCUGGGGCAGUCACCUUCAGCCCCUUGGAGCUUGCCUGCUCAGGUUUUAAUCCCCUGUCCUUUGUCCUGUGAGUCUGCACCCCCCCCCACCGCCACCACGCCCAAGGCCUGCCUCGGGUCCCCCACCCCCCUGCUCCAUCACCGCUGCAGCCCCCACCCCCACCUCCCUUCUCUGACCUCAGAGCCUCCCACGCGGUGCAGGAGACCAUUUCCCAAGGCAAACAGACAUAGCGGUCAUCCCGGUGGGACGACAGCGCUUACAUCCGGGCGUUGGAUCGAGCCUUCUGCAAACGGACCGGCCAGGAGGAGCGAGGCAGGGAGUCCUGACGGGGAACGUUACCCACAGGGGCCUUUGCCGCCUUCCUGGGACUCCCGGGAACCCCGGGGCCUUCCCGGGUGCAGCCGGCCCCUCCCCAGGCCAGACGCCGGAGACAGGUGCCGAGGUGCAGCUGAGUUUGGGGAAAUAUUGCCGUUUUCGGCACCGGUGCCAGGGGGAGGCAGCUGA